rnacentral:lncRNA from 1 species
GCUGAAAGGAACAAAGUCUGUCUUCAUCUAGAUUGCAAAAGUCUUGCUAGGAUAGACCAAAACUAUAUUAUGAGGCAGAAAUUACUUUAAACAGAGUUAAUAUAUGUAAUCUCAAAUAUUCAGGUGGGAGUUAGGAUAUUUAAGAUUGAGAUUGAUUGCCUCAACUUAGGGGAGAUGGAGCACUCAUUAACCUAAUGGGCCAGAAAACGAUAAAUGCUAGUGGAAUUCCUGGGUGAAUAAAUGCAACUAAACCUUCA